UACGUAGGGUGCAAGCGUUGUCCGGAAUUAUUGGGCGUAAAGAGCUCGUAGGCGGUGCGUCGCGUCUGCUGUGAAAACUCAGGGCUCAACUCUGAGCUUGCAGUGGGUACGGGCACACUUGAGUGCUGUAGGGGAGACUGGAAUUCCUGGUGUAGCGGUGAAAUGCGCAGAUAUCAGGAGGAACACCGGUGGCGAAGGCGGGUCUCUGGGCAGUUACUGACGCUGGAGGAGCGAAAGCAUGGGGAGCGAACAGGA
rnacentral:rRNA from 1 species